CCUACGGGGGGCUGCAGUGGGGAAUAUUGCACAAUGGGGGAAACCCUGAUGCAGCAACGCCGCGUGAGCGAAGAAGGCCUUCGGGUCGUAAAGCUCUGUCCUAAGGGAAGAAGCAUGACGGUACCUUAGGAGGAAGCCCCGGCUAACUACGUGCCAGCAGGCGCGGUAAUACGAAGGGGGCGAGCGUUAUCCGGAAUCACUGGGCGUAAAGGGAGCGUUGGCGGCCAAGUAAGCCAGAGGAGAAAGGCUACGGCUCAACCGUGGUAAGACGUUGGAACUAAAUGGCUUGAGUGCAGGAGAGGAGAGUGGAAUUCCUAGUGUAGCGGUGAAAGGCGUAGAUAUUAGGAGGAACACCAGUGGAGAAGGCGACUCUCUGGACUGUAACUGACGCUGAGGCACGAAAGCGUGGGGAGCAAACAGGAUUAGAUACCCUUGUAGUC
rnacentral:rRNA from 1 species